ensembl:miRNA
UGUGACAUCACAAUCCUCCAAUGUGAUAUCACAAUGCUCCAAUUUGCCAACACUGUGGCCACCUGUGCUAUUAUAUUGCUCAAAAGUGUCAUCACAAUG